rnacentral:rRNA from 1 species
CAGCCGCCACGGUAAUACGAAGGGGGCUAGCGUUGUUCGGAAUUACUGGGCGUAAAGGGCGCGUAGGCGGCCAUUCAAGUUAGAUGUGAAAGCCCUGGGCUCAACCUAGGAAUUGCAUUUGAUACUGUUUGGCUUGAGUUCGGGAGAGGUGAGUGGAAUUCCCAGUGUAGAGGUGAAAUUCGUAGAUAUUCGCAAGAACACCAGUGGCGAAGGCGGCUCACUGGCCCGGUACUGACGCUGAGGUGCGAAAGCGUGGGGAGCAAACAGGAUUAGAUACCCCCGUAGUCCCUGUCUCUUAUAC